GUGAAUCAUCAAAUCUUUGAACGCAAAUUGCGCCUAUUUCGAAAGGGAUGUCUGUAUGAGGGCACCAUUUAACAAAAAAUGUGAAGCGUUUUUUGUUGCACAUGUUGAUGAGCUUUCGAAGAAUUUUAUAUUUUUGGUGGCGCAUAAUGAAUAGCGUGUAAGUUUAUUUAAGUUCGAGUGAAGUAAGAUCUUUGCUUGGGUUGUGAACUAACUU
rnacentral:misc_RNA from 1 species